rnacentral:tRNA from 1 species
AAAUCCGUCGACUUUAAAAAUCGUGAGGGUUCAAGUCCCUCUAUCCCCC